GUUGAGAACCACUGCCCUAAAGACCCCAGAUCCCACCUGCUCUUGAAAGCUAAGCAGGGUCAGCUCUGAUUAGUACUUGGAUGGGAGACUACUGAGGAAUACCAGGAACAAUAGGCU
rnacentral:rRNA from 1 species